rnacentral:lncRNA from 1 species
GCAGGUUUCACAUCCAUAUUCCACCCCAACAUCAUUUCGAUACCUGGUUACACUGCAGGUAGAAUUCGAAGCUGGCCGCUGAACAAGGGUGUGAUGUUUGUGAGAUUUGUAUUUUAUUCUUGUUGGUAAGAAUGCACAACGGAUAUCCACAUAGAUAUCACAAUCCUGACAGUGAUAGUAGAAUCCAUUUGUCGAAAAGUCGCAAACUCCACAACGCACAAUAUCAUAAAAUUUAUGCUUCAUCUUAAGCAGGAGAGAAUGGCCGGGGUGAAAAUGCGACUCUCCUUCUGGCAACUUAUGUGGCAACAUAGUCGCACAGAAAGAAUGGAGAAAGAAACCACACUGGAUACAAGCGUAGUAAGAGGGACGGGAAACGGUUAUAGGUUGAAUACAUCCAUUGCAUAUCAGCUCUCUCCUAUCAUCAUCAUCACUGUCGUCGCUCUCGUUCUCACAGAUAGUAAACUGGAGCAGUUGUAAUGGAUGGAUCUGGUGACUCCAGUGUUUUUCAAUAAUGUGUGGAUCAUUAGAUGGUACUGACAUCGCAACGCUGAUUUCACCUUCACCUUGAAAGUUGACUUGGGACUCGCAACACUGAGUCACAAUGAGAUCAAAUAUUGAUUCCUGGCUUUGCAGAGGAAAUAGUGCCAGAUCAGGAUCAUAAUCAAUGUCAUCUUCUUCAUUCUCAUUUCUGAACACAAAAAAUUAAAAUUAAUUUAGAAAUGAUAACCCAUGAGCUCAUGACAAGUUAGAGAAGAAAUGAUGUGAAAAGCAAAGUAAAAACAAUUAAAAGGUACUCACACAAUGGAUAUUGUGGAUGUAGAACAUUUCAUGUGCACAAAAUAUGUGCACUUGUGGCAAUAAUACACCCAACUCCUGCGGUAAACAAAUUGGCGGCAGAUACCACAGUAUUGGGUAAAGACGAGAUGAAUGUCCGGAACAGAGUAGACGAGAGUGAGAGGGUGAUGGUGAUAAGUAGGAGAUGGAAUAAUCAAGGGGAAAAAGGCACAGGUCUUGUGAAUCCAGAACUCACAGGCGGUGCAAACAUAGGAAGAGUCGUUAGCUUUCUCAUGACAGGCAUCACACUCAAAAAAGGCUUCCUUGUUCAUUAAUGUCAGCGCGUGCUCCUUGUGUCCUUGAUGAUGAAGCACCCUCUGUUCCAAACCACAAAACACACACACAUCAAAGUUACAAUCAACACAUGCAUAAGAGACCUUAAUUUCACGAUAACAAAUAUCACAGGUGAAACUAGCUGCAGGGCGUGGAAGGCGAGAAAGAGGAUGGAUGGUGUGUUUAUGGUGGCUAAUUUGCUGGGGGAAUUCUGCACAAGUCUUGUGCAAGUAGAAAUUUUGACAAUCAACAUCGUCAUCACGACUAACACAGGUAUAUGUAGGAGAGCCUACGACUUGUUUUUUGCACAUAAUGCAAGCAGCAUCCUCACCAAAAAUAAAAUCCUCUUGUAGACUUAAUGAAUGUUCAUGUAGAUAAACAGAUAUGGGUAAUUCUGCACAACUUGACUUGUGCAGGUAGAAUCUGACAUUAAGAUCAUCGCGACUAGAACAGAAAUAUAGAUCAGAGCCUUGAGCUGGUUUGUUGCACGUAUGGCACAUACCAUCAUCUCCCUCAACAGUACACUCUAUAAAUGUGUGCCCCGAAUUGCUGAAGAGCUCGAACACUGAAAUCAUUUUUGGUUGAGAGGAGAGAUUUAGAAAUGGGUUUCAAGGUUCUUAGUGUCUUGUGCUUGGGGUUCUUACUUACUGCACAACUCAAAACACAAGAGACUUGCAAAAUAUCAUUGAAUAAUUUUGCAGUGGCCGUCCUACAAAUUAAAUAGACAGCAGAAAUGAAGGAAAAUAUUAAGUAUCUGAGCUACCAAUAUCUUGUACAAUAGGAGUAUCAUCUGUACCACUGAAUUGCAGUUCAGGCAAGCAUGGUCCUCGAAAUUAUUAGACCCACAGGCCCCUGCUAGAUUUUUUAUCUAACAACUAAGGUUUUGUCUUUGGCUUCACCACAUACCAAUUAACCUUUUAAUAUUUAUUUUUUACAUGUUCAAAUUUAAGGAGGCCUAUAAACUCAGAUAUAAACUAACCAAUUAACCUUUUAAUAUUUCGUUAUUAAUAAUUAAUAAUAUGAUAUAAAACAUAUUAUAAUUUAAAGAGACGCAUGAAACCAAAUACCGAUCCAUCAUACUAACCUAAAUUUAAUGUUUUGGUUUAAUAGAUAAUAAAAAAUAUACUAUAACAUGUUAUAAAUUCAAGAGCUCCAUGGGUCGAAUACCAACCAUUCACUAAACUCAACUAACUGACUACCAACUAACCUUUUUAUUUUCGGCUUUAAUAGUGUAAUAAUAUACAAUAUAGAUUUGUAAUAUUUCUGUUAAUGUAAGAUCAUUAGAGUAUUUAAAAAUAAUGUUAUUAAUGUAUUUUGGUUGAAUAAUAUCACAUGUUAUUUAUUAAUAACUAUAUAUAAUGAUAUUAUAUUUUUAUAUAUAUGUUGCUCGUGUUAAUUGUAAAAACUCGGUUUUUUUAGUUAGAAAAUCUAAAAAAGAUAAUGCGUUUUGAUUUAAAAGGCAAUUACUAUGUUGCUUGAUAUUAUUUUAGAAAUUUGAGUUUUUUUAGCUAAAAACUAUAUUAAAGAUAAUUUAUUUUAGUUAAAAAGAAUAAUCGGUUAUAUAGAUAGGCCGGUACUUCGGUCCAAGUACCGACCGCCCGACCAAUAUAACUCCUAUUUUAUAUUAUUUGACGUUUAGAUUUUUGGCACACAUCUUUAGGUUUAAAUAUGUCGUCCAUGUCCGUAUUAAUUAUUAAAGAUUAAUUUUUUAGUUAGAAAAUUUAUAAGAAAAUAAUAUUUUAUAGUUAAAAAAGUAAUUAUCAUGUUUCUCAAUGUUAUUUUAGAAGAUUGAGUUUUUUAGUUAAAAUAUAAAAAAGGUAAUAUAUUUCAAUUAAAAAGAAUAAUUGAUUAUAUAGAUAGACCCGUACUUUGGCCCAAGUUAAAAAAAUAAUUGGUUAUAUAGAUAGACCCAGAAUAAUUAGUUAUAUCGAUAGGCCCGUAUUUUGGCCCAAGUAUCGACCGACCGACAAAACUUUUAAUGUUUCGGCUUUAAUAGUAUAGUAUAUAUAGUUAGGUUUUAAAUUUGGAUUGUAAUUGGAUAAAUAUUAUUUACAAAUAUUUAGUAUCAUUUGUGGAGGUCAUUAUUGAUGACUUUAUUGUGCCGUUAAUGGCUUUCAGUGCCAUUUUUAUGGCUUGUGUUACCAUUUUUAUGGUCAUAAUAUAUAACUCUAUUUUUUUUUUUAUUUCUCAGUUAAAUUAUUAAAUUUUUAUGUGUCUUUAACCAAAGGAUUUUCCUUUGGUUAAAGAUUAAUUAAUAUUCAUAUAUAUAUAUAUAUAUAUAUAUAUAUAUAUAUAUAUUCUUUCAUUUUUGGCUUUUUAUUAGAUUUACAAUUUAUUUUAAUUAAUUAAAUUAUAUAUAUAUAUAUAUAUUAUAUACUUGUAUAUUGAUUUAUGUUUUGUUUUUUUGUUUUUUUUUUUCAGGAUAAGUUGGAAGCGAGGUGCACGUGACUUCCUUCAUGGGUAUUCUUUUCUCAUUCAUGUAAGCUUUAUUAUCUAAACAUCUCCGGAGUUGUGCUUGCAUCACUUUCGAUUAGAUGAUAAACUUUCUUGAAAGAAAGAUAUCCCGGAUACGGUUUAUUAUAUUUCGAUACAAUUCAUCUACAUGCAUAUAGACCUUAAAAAAAUAAAAAAAUUGGUAGUUUGCUAAUUCUUAUAUUUACUGAGUAUUGAUACUUUCCAAUAAAAUUACAUUAUAAAACAUUAAAUGAUCAAAUAUUAUUUUUUUAAUCUUUAUUAAUAAUUAAAAUCCUUUUUUAUAAUAUCAAAAUUUUAAUUGCAUAUUUUUGUAAUAAUUGUUAAUUCUGGUAUUUAAAGUAAAUAUUUACUUUCACAACUAUUAACAUUACUACACUUAUACAUUAUUUUUGAAAAAAAUUAUACUAAUAUGAUAUUAUUCAAAUUUGAUUAUUACUUAAAUUUUAAAUAACUUUAUUUUGAGAUAUAUUAUGACAUCAUAUUUUUUUCCAUCAUUGAAUCUAAAUUUAUUACAGUUAAUUUCAUAUUUAUUGAUUCAAAAACAUCUACAACUACACUAGUUAUUCCUCCUUAUAAUAAUUCAAAACAUUACAAAAAUAAUAAAAAUCAUAUAUGUGUGUAUAUAUGCUGAUACGUUAUAAUAUUGUACUUACUUUAUUAAUCCAUUUAACUUUUAUAUAUUUUUACACACAACAUUGAUUUAAUAGAAUUUUAUUAUAACACUAACCAGUAACCAGUUACUAUAUGGGUUAUUUACUCUGCCUUGUUCCCGCUGUUAGUUUAGCCCAAAGAACAUAGAUGAAAAAACCGGUGAUUCAAGUAUAAACACAUGCAUAGGCUACAAACAGAAAAAAAGUUUUAAUUAUCAAAAUCACUGACGUCGACAAAUGGUAUCAACUUCAUCACUGAUCUUCACGGAUCUCAAGUGGCUCAUUAAACUCGUAUCAAACUCAUCACUGCCGUUAAAAAAGUAACGGAAGGAUAGACGGAAUGACACAUUGGACUUAGGGUUUGACAUGUGGCAGACCACAUAAUUUGAAGUUUAUAUGGAAAUAAAAGUAUGCAAUCUUUUUAUUAAAUUAAUUUUAUGAUAUAAUUAUCUAAAUAAAUGCAUGGAACUAAAUUUUAAGAUAUAAUUAACUAAAAAUCCAAGAUUAACUUUUAUAUUUUUAUUAGAUUAUAAUUAUUUUUGAAUAAUAUUGAAAUGUUUUCUUUUAAUAAAUUUUAUUUAUGUGAAUAUUAUUGUUGGCAAAAAAAAUAUCAACUACCAUCAUUCUACAAACACACAACAUUGUAACAAUGAUGUAAAACAUGUACAUAAAACACAUAUAAGCCAAAAAACAUUUGCUUACAGAAUACAUAAAUAAAGAUACGAUACGAAAAUGUAAAAAAGAUUAGGAUUUUCAUACCUGAUUAAGAUUUGGUGUUGAUGAGGCUUGAUUUGGAUUAGGGUUUAUAUGCUAUUCGCUCUCAAUGUUUUUGACGCUUCGUCUCUUCUGCGGUAUGAAGCAGCAGUAUAUGUCAGUGUAUGUAGUUAUCGUUGACGUAUGUUUUUACUCUUGUUGUCUACUUUCUUUCUUUCUAUUUUCUACUUUUUCUUUUUCUUUUUUUUUUCUUUCAUUUAUUUUUCUCAAGUCUUUUUUAUUAAUGUGUCACGUCAACAACUAAUGUGUCAUUCCCUCUAUACUUCCGUUACUUUUUUUAACGGCAGUGAUGAGUUUGAUGCCAUUAAGCGAGUUUAAUGAGCCACUUGAGACCCCGUGGAGAUUAGUGAUGAAAUUGAUACCAUUUGUCGACUUCAGUGAUGAGUUUGAUAAUUAACCCACAAAAAAAAUAAACCAAAUGAACAGAAUAAUGAACAUUCGAAGGAAGUAUUGAAUUUCAUUUCAGUGCAAUCUGUUGCAACUGGCCUGAGAGUGCACAGCGCAAGCAUGCGAGAAGUCCACAGCCAUCACAUUCGAAAAAUAAACUGAGGGUAUUCAUAAAACCGAAGCACAGGGAACAAGUGAAUGAGGACGUCUUUCUUGUAGGACUCUUCAAAACUAAUGCAAGUGUGUGUGGUUUAUCCGCAAUAAUGAACUUAAUUGUCCCUCCUAACUUGACAUUGUUGAGCAAAAACCCGCAAUAAUAGUGAUAAGAAUGUUCAGAUUCACUGCAAUGGUAGAGCAACUCCUGGUUGUUAACUCGUUCCUCACAUAUUUCACAGUAGAAUGCUCCUUCGUAGAAGAAUGGUGGAACUCUCAAGGUCAAGGGGUGAUCAUCAUAUUUGUGUUCCAUCUUACUUGGUAAAAUUGCACAAAAUAUAUGGAUCUGGAAAGUACUGCAGGUUUCACAUGCAUAUUCCACCCCAACAUCAUUUUGAUUCGUGGUUACACUGCAGGUAGAAUUCGAAGAUGGCCGCUGAACAAGGGAGUGAUGCUUGUGAGAUUUGUAUUUUAUUCUGGUCGGUAAGAAUGCACAACGGAUAUCAACACAGAUAUCAUAAUCCUGACAGUGAUAGUAGAAUCCAUUUGUCAAAAUGUUGCAAACUCCACAACGCACAACAUCAUACAAGUUAUCCUUCAUCUGAAGCACGAGAGAAUGGUCGGGGUGAAAAUGCGAUGCUCCUACAGGCAACUCUUGUGGCAACAUAGUCGCACAAAAAGAAUGGAGAAAGAAACCACACUGGAUACAAGCAUAGUAAGAGGGAUGGGAAACGGUUAUAGGUUGAAUACACCCGUUGCAUAUCAGCUCUCUCUUAUCAUCAUCAUCACUGUCGCCGCUAUCGUUCUCACAGAUAGUAAACUGGAGCAGUUGUAAUGGAUGCAUCUGGUGACUCCAGUGUUUUUCAAUAAUGUGUGGAUCAUCAGAUUUUACUGACAUAGUAAUACUGAUUUCACCUUCACCUUUAAAGUUGAGUUGGGACUUGCAACACUGAGUCACAAUGAGAUCAAAUAUUGAUUCCUGGCUAGGCAGAGGAAAUAGCACCAGAUCAGGUUCAUUAUCAAUGUCAUCCGAUUCAUUCCCAUUUCUGAAAACAAGAAAUUAAAAUAAAUUCAGAGAUGAUAACACCUGAGCUCAUGACAACUUAGACAAGAAAUAAUGUGAAUAGCAAAGUAAAUAAAUAGAUUGGAAAAGGUACUUACACCAUGAAUAUUGUGGAUGUAGAACAUUUCAUGUGCACAAAAUAUGUGCACUUGUGGCAAUAAUACACCCAGCAGCUGCGGUAAACAGAUUGGCGGCAGAUACCACAGUAUUGCUUAAAGCAUAGAUGAAUGUCAGGAACAGAGUAGACGAGAGUGAGAGGGUGAUGGUGAUAAGUAGGCGACGGAAUAAUCAAGGGUGAAAAGGCACAAGUCUUGUGGAUGCAGAAGUCACAGGUGGUGCAAACAUAUGAAGAGUCUUUCGCUUCCUCAUGACAAGCAUCACACUCAAAAAGGGAUGCCUUCUUCAUUAAUGUGAGUGCGUGCUCCUCGUGUCCUUGAUGAUGAAGCACCCUCUGUUCCAAAGCACAGAACACACACACACAUCAAAGUCGCAAUCAACACACAAAUAAGAGACCUUACUAUGAAGACAACAGAUAUCACAGGUGCAAGCAUCAGAGCGUGGAUGGAGAGAAAGAGGAUGUCUUUUGUGCUUAUGGUGGUUAAUUUGCUGCGGGAAUUCUGCACAAGUCUUAUGCAAGUAGAAAUUUUGACAAGCAACAUCGUCAUCACGACUAACACAGGUAUAUGUAGGAGAGCCAACGACUUGUUUGUUGCAUAUAUUGCAUACAGCAUCCUCUCCAAAAAUAAAAUACUCUUCUAAAAUUAAAGAAUGCUCAUGUAGAUAAACUGAUAUGGAUGAUUCUGAACAAGUCUUGUGCAGGUAGAAACUUCGAAGACCGUGUCUAGUACAGAAAUACGUAUGAGAACCUUGAACUGAUUUGUUGCACGUAUGGCAUAUAAGAUCAUCUCUCUCAACGCUACACGCUGUGAAAGUGUAGCCCGAAUUGCUGAAGAGCUCGAACACUGAAAUCAUCUUUGGUUGAGAGUAGAGAUCUAAAAUGGGUUUCAAGGUUCUUAGUGUCUUAGUGGCCUAACAAUUUGACCACUGAAUUGCAGAUCAGGCAGGCGUGUUCCUCAAAAUUAUUAGACCCACAGCCGACAAGCCACUGCUAGAUUUGUAAUCUACCCCUCUUUCAUAUUUUAAUAGUCAAAUCUCACACAUAUUAAAAAUGAUGAUGUUUUAUCAUAUUCGAAUCAUUAAAUUUAUAAUAAUUAUACAUGAAUAUAACCAAGUUUUCAUGUAUUUUAUGAAAAUUUUAUACUCUCUCCAUUCCAAAAUAAUACUCCCUCCGUCGUAAUAUAAAUGUCUUUUUUGAUUUCAGACUAGUCAAAUUGACCUCAUUUUGACUAAAAUUUAUAUAUAUUUUUAUUAUAUAAUUGAAAAACAACUAAAAAAAUACCAUCAAAAAAUAAAUCUAAUCUAUUUUAGUAUGUAACUUUCUAUGUUUUAAAAUAAUAAAUAAAUGUUUUUAAUAAUUGAUCAAAAAUUAGUUAAUCUGACUUCUCGAAAAGCUAAAGGGACGUGUUAAUUGGGACGGAAGGAGUAGUCGCUAUGAUUUUUUACACGUACUUUGAUAUAAAAAAAUAGUAUUUUUUAUAAUUUUUAUUUUGAAUAAAAAUAUAGAUGUUUAACUUUUAUUCGAAAACAGGAAUUUGAAAUAUAAUGCAUAAAGUACAUUUUUUUUAUAUCUCAAAUUACGUGUACAAAAUCAAAUUGACUAUUGUUUUGAAAUAUUGGGAGUAGUUAUUUACUUAAAAAAUUUUGAAAAUCAUGUGAAUUAAUUAGAGUCAAUAUUGAAAAUAAUAUAAAAUUAUAUUGAAUAAAGAAGGGGGACAUAAAUUUAUAUGAGAACUUUUUUUUUUUGACAAACAAGCUAUUAAAAUGGAAGUAGAAAGUAACUGCUACAGUAAGUUUUUGUCUUUGGGCUCCAUGGCAUAUUCGUGUCUCCAGGCUGUAGGAAUUAUUGGUAGAGUUGUUGUUGUUUUUCUUAAGGAAUUGGUAGAGUGAUUUUUUCUUUUUAUUCUGUAUAUCUAUGAUUGAUUAUGCGUCCGUUUGUUUCCGUUUGUUUGGUAGAAACAGCUCCUGCUUCUGACUUAGGCUCUUGUUAACCUGUUUGUGUAAAUAAUAAGUAGAAAUAUUUUUACAAAGUUGAGAAUGUUAAUUUCUCUCUCAGAGUUUCUACUACUUUUUCAAACACUUUAUAACUUAUUUACUUCUCACUUCUAAUCCACUUAUUUUUUUUAAGUAAGAAAUCAUUUUUUUUUUCAUAAAAAAUGAUUUGUUAAGAUUAUGUGUUUGUUUGGUUGGAAGAAGCAGAAGCUGCUUCUGUUUUUUGCUUCUUUUGACCUGUUUGUGUAAAAAAGCAGAUUCACUUUUAAGAAGCUGAAAAUACUAGCUUCUCUAUCACAGCUUCUGCUUCUUUUUCAAACACUUUAUUAACUUAUUUACUUCUCACUUCUAAUCCACUUCUUUACUCUAAGUAAGGAAUUACUUUUUUUAAGUUUGCCCAAACGACCGCAUAUCUAUACUUCUAUACUAUACUAUUAAAGCCGAAAUAUUAAAAGUUUGGUCGGUCGGUACUUGGGCCGAAUUAUGGGCCUAUUAUAAUCAAUAAUCCUUUUUAACCCAAACAUAUUAUCCUUUCUAUAUUUUCAAACUAAAACAACACAAUCUUCUAAUUAACAUUGAGCAACAUAUCAAUUACCUUUUUUUAACUAAAACACAUCAUCUUUUUAAAUUUUCUAACGAAAACGAUGAUCUUCUAAAUAAUACGGGCAAUAUAAUAUAAAAAGAUAACAUUAUUAUAUAUAAUUAUAAAUAAAUAAUCGAUGAUAUUUUUCAACUAAAAUUAAAAUUAUUUUUAAAUACUCUAACGACCUCACAAUAAUACUAAAAUAUUAAAAAUUUGGUCAUUCGAUUGAUAUUUGACCUUACGGACCUCUUUAAUUUAUAAAUGUUCUAAUGAUUUUUAUUAUUAUCUAUUUACCAAAAUUGUGAAAAUAUUAAAAAAAAUUGGUAGUAUGAUUGGUCAAAACCAAAACAUUAAAAACUUGGUCAUUAGUAUUUUGGCCGAAUUAUGAGUCUAUCUAUAUAAUCAAUUAUCUCUUUUUACUAAAUAAUCAAUUAUUCUUUUUAACUGAAACAUAUUAUCUUUUCUAUAUUUCAAGCUAAAGCAAUUCAAUCUUAUAAAAAUAACAUUAGGCAACAUACCAAUUACAUUUUUUUAACUAAAAUACAUUAUAUUUUCUGAUUUUCUAACUAAAAACGGCGACCUUCAAAAGAAAAUAUGGGCAAUACACAUACACACACAUAUACAUAUAUAAGGUCAUAUUAUAAUAUACAAUUAUAAAUAAAUAAUUUACGAUACUUUUUCACUAAAAUAACAUUAUUUUUAAAUAUUUUAAUGACCUGACUUUUAAAAUAAUAUUAUAAAAAUAUACUAUCUACGUACACUAUAAUAUAUAUCAUUAUACAAUAUUAUCUUUAAUAACACAAUAUUCAAAAUUUGGUUAUUAAGAGUUUGGUCGGUCGGUCGGUACUUGGCCAAAUUAUGAGCCUACUUAUAUAAUCGAUUAUCCUUUUUAACUAAAAUUAUUAUCUUUUUUAUAAUUCUAACUAAAAAAACUCAAUUUUUUAAAGAUAAUAUCGAACUUCAUAUCAACUAUCCUUUUUAACUAAAAUACAUUAUCUUUUUCAGAUUCCAAACUAAAAGACCGAUUUUCUAAAAAUAACACAUGCAACGUACAUAUAAAAAAAAUAUUAUUAUAUAUUAUUAUUAAUGUACAACCGAUGAUAUGUUUCAACUAAGUACGUUGAUAUUAUUUUUAAUUACUCUGCGUUAUCACUUUAAAAGUAAUAUCCUAGAUCUAUACUAUCUAUUUAUAUUAUAUUAUACUAUAUAUUAUUAUUAUUAUUCUACUAAAACUAAUAUAUUAAUAGUUUUAUUGAUCUGUCGAGUUUUAUCAGCUGAUCGGUAUUAUUUUACGGGUCUCCUUAAUAUAUAACGUGUCUGAUAAACUUUUUUAUUAUUAAUUAACUCAAAACAUUUAAGAAUUCGGUCAGUAUAAUCAGUUUGUAUUUUAAUUAAAUUUAAAAUAUAAACAAUAAAACUACGAAUGUUAUAAUCACCCGUGCAUAGCACGGGGUAUAAGCUAUUAUUAUACGAUUAAAAGCGAAACAUUAAAAUUUUGGCCGGUCGGUCGAUAUGUGGGCCGAGAUACGAGUCUAUUUAUAUAACCAAUUAUUGUUUUUAACUUAAAUAUAUUAUCUUUUUAUAUUUUAUAACUAAAAAAACUCAAUCUUCUAAAAUAAAAUCGAGCAAUAUAGUAAUUAAUCUUUUAACUAAAAAAUAUUAUAAAAUUAAUUAAAUUUAUAAUAUAUACGAUAAAAUAACAAAUAUAUUAACCGCCCGUGCAUUGCACGGGUUAUAAGCUAGUAACUAGCGUAGAAGCACGGGCAUUGCAGUAAAACUUUUUUUAUUUAAAAUCAUGGAGGGCUAUUGUUGUAUUGUCAUGACCAAGCUAUAUAUGUUAGCUUCCAUGCUAAAUGGACAUAACAGUUCACACGAACAUGAGAUGAUUAAAUCACGACCUAAUAUAUAGAUUUUAACUUGCAAAAGAUUUUAGUUUGUAAAAGAUGUUUACCUUAGAAGUUGGAUCAUCAUAAAAUCAUAUAUCAUUAGUGUAAAAGCAAAUAACUCAGAUUCAUGCGACACUUUUCAAGCACGCAAAUAAUUAUUCGGUUUCGAGAAAAAAUGUAUAGCUAAACCAUUUCUUCAAAAACUGACAAUGAGAUCAUUCACCAAAGAAGUGAAAAUCUCACGCUCGAAAUCUAAUGCUACUUCUUGUCUAUUUUCAUCUAAUUCACCACAUUUCUCAUUUUUCCAUUCCUCUGAUGGGCACUUCCCGUCCCAGGAGUACCUCUGGUUCUCCGUUGAUCCAAUUUUUCUCCAUAUCCAGCACCUCACAGUCGGGCGCAUCAUUUCCGUAAUUUGCUUUGAUAAAGAGGUCGAAGAAAAGAUUUUCAUCUGAGUUGAAUUCAGCCUCAUUGAUGGUGUUCUUUACCCUCAUUUGUCGAAGUAAUUCCUUUGACAUUUUAUCUUGAAUUGUUAUACUCUUUCUCAUUAGCAGGAACCUACUUUUUGUAGAUAGACAACAAAGAAGAUCGAACCGGUUUAUUUCUCACAGUCAGUUAAUGCAGUACGUUUUGAAGCGACGCGGGGUUUCUUCUAAAGCUUGUGCUUUGUUCUCGGUGAUCAAGUGCACAUAAUUUAUUAAACAAUGGGAAUGGAUAAAACACAUGAAUUCUGAUGUUUGCAUAAUGAAAAUUAAAAGCACCUUGCAUCUUUCAAACUACAAAGUGCCACUUAGGCUAUGAAGCAAAUAUAAAGCAAAGCGAAGGAAAUGCUAAAAUCAUUUUCGAAUAAUCAUAUGAACCAAAAAAAGUGCCAAAAGUAUCACAAGUAAGAUAACAUAAGAUAAUUACAACUAUAUUCCAUUAAGUUUUACUAAAAAAAUGCUUGCGGAUUUUCCUUGUAUACACCCUCAACAUCAUCUUAGACAGAUUUGUCAAAACUGACGAGUUCCCUUACGAAUUUCUUUAAGAAUAACAAUAUCAUUAGUUUCUAUGUAAGCUUAUAGUUAUAAGCCACUACUUUCAUCCUUGCCUGUGCAUGAAUGGUUAACUAAUAGCUAAUAAAAAAAGCUAUUUAAUUUUAAAUUUUAAAAUUUAUAAUUUGUGUGCCUGUGCCUUAAUAAAAAAGCUAGUUAAUUUUAAAUUUAAAAAUUUAAAAAGAAUCUCAUGAACCAGUUCCUAGUUCUGGUAUAAGUAAUAUUACAAACAAAAGCUGCGGCCUUAUAAUAUUAGGGUGCAAUAUGUAAUCGGUUAAGAAACAUGAAGUUCAAAAAUAUGCCGGUUGCAGUAGUGAAUGGUUAGACAUUUAGCUAAUUUAACAACAGUGGAGGAUAACUCCUGUAUAGUCUUGUAUGUGCAAAUAAGAAACAUGUAACUGGUAAUAGUUAGUGAAUACCUGAGUAUUUUUUGGCCAUUAAGCCAGUUAUAACCACAAAAACAGGCUCAUUUCCUUCCUUUGGCAAUAAGUCGAGGAAGGUGGUUGCCUUGCUCUCCCAUAAAGCUACAAUGACUUUCAUCCCUUAUUUGUGAACAAAUAAUGAGGAAACAGUAAGUGGUUGUUCGCCCUUGGCCCAUCUUAGGAAAGGCUUGGAAUCUGAAAACAUAGUAUAAGGAGAAACAGAGCCAAAGGUGGAGUAUAUGCGUUUGAAACUUUAUCAAAUAUCUCCUCAUCAUAAUCAUAUCUGCCUGAAAAUAUAAUAUAUGACUCGGGCUUUAAAAAUAUUAUAAAUCUUGGUUCAUUUCUCAAAAAUCUUCCAUUGGCCAAAUUCUCACACACACAUUGAAUAUUUUACCUAAGGGAAAAAAUAUCAAACAAAAACUGAUGCUUAAAUUGAAAAGAUAUUAGUAAAUUAAAGAUGUCAUCGUCCUUUAAUACUACCAUCUACCAAAGGUUUAUAUCUUUUGUAACAAAACUAAUUCUGAAUAAAUAUACUUAAUUAGAAAUGGCAACAAGCUCCUCGUUGCAGCAUCCGAACAUAUAUGACAAGCCUGCGCCAGUUGGUACCAAGCACAUAUAGCUCAGAUUGUUAACUGAAAGUUAUCUAUCUCUCAAACAUAGCUGCAUAACAUUCUGGAGCUGUAUGGCCUGCACCCUGAGAAUAUACUCACACACACCAAUUUAAAUUUACCUAGGGGUUAUUGACUUGGCGGUAAGAUCUAUCAUUUUUCAGUGAUUCAUAAAUGUGACUGAGAAUACUACAUUUUUCUUUUUUCUUAUGCUGUUAAAUUUUACUUGAAUUGCAAUGCAACAAUCUUAGGUGUUGCUCUUUCAUGAAAAGCCAGAGUAUUAGUAAACAUCUGGCGAUUUAGCUUAGCGAGGAGGAAAUAAUACCACACAUGUAUAGCUUUUAAAGAUCUAACAUGCAAGAAGAUCUAGAAAAUAAGGCGAAAUAAUUACCUUUACAAAAGAGUCUCUAACACAAGUUUUCCACCACACAAUGUUGGGAAUUUUCUCUGCAAACCCAAAACUGGGAUGUUCUUUUGCCGUGUUUGUGUAUGCAAUUUUACAGCCCUCAUGCACACGCUUGUAGUUUGGACACGGAAGUCUGCAGAUUUGACUGCCAUGCAAUAGUAUUCACCAAGCUCCCCCUUGUAAGCUAUUAAUGUGCCAGUAACAUCCAGAGUGAUACAGCGUAACUUUGUCACUAUAGACAUCUUGAGUAUGAUCUUGCAGAUUUUUGUAUCUUGGUCCUGAAAACAAUUGUAUUAAAACUUUAGUAUAUCACCCAUUCAAUAUAUCAGCUCUCUAUACAACCAGCACCCACUAUUUUAAAUUAUUAGAAAUUUAGUUAAAGACACGCUAUGACAUAGUAUUAGCAAGCAUAUCAGUUAAAAUGAGUAAUAAUAAUCUUACACUGCAGGGAGACAUUUGAACAAUUGAAUAUGAUAUAAUUAUCUCAUCUUUGAAUAACGAAAAAGAUGUCUCCAUGCUUAUCUUAGAAGUUAGAAUGCCUCUUAGGUUUAAGAACAGGUUUUCUCAUUGAACAAUGUAAGAAUUUCCCCAACUCUAAUCUGAGGUGUGAUCGGGUAUUAUGUCUAGUUGACCACUAUUGUUCAAGAAAAUGACAAGUGUGAUACCAUCGUUUUCUAGGUGGUUCUUAUGGUUAUAAAAGUUGGAGAUCUAUCCUAAAAGUAGUACUAAAAGAAUCUCAUUAUCCUCAGCCUAAAUUCAAUAUUCAUGAGAUAUCGACUUGUGAAAAUUAUCAAAGAAUGUUAUAUGACUCAUGAUAAUAAUCGGAACAAUUUCAGGAUGCUCUUUUGUUCAAAGAUAUGGUGAUAAUAGUGCUUUUUAUGAAAGAACAGCCACAGUAAUUCAGAAGUUCAUACAGCAUAGAUAAAAUUUAAUCUAUAAUAAUUUGGAAGUUUAAUAUAAAAAAUUACCUCUAUUUACUCCUCAGUCUAUAAUCAACUUCAUGUACACGUAUCUAGCACCAAUCAGAUUACUUUGCCAUACACAGAGUUAUAUUCCAGGGUUGCAUCAUAAUAUAAUGCAUUUGAAGUAUACUGCACAUUUAAUAACCUUUCAAAGAUGAAUUUCCCGUAGCCCCAUUCUAUUUCUUUUUCCAAAGUAGGAAAGUAGAUUACUCUGUAAUGCAUUAUUCUAACUACACAUCUUACCGAUCGGAAAAGUACACAAGACUUUACAUCAGGCCUAAAGAAAAGAAAGCGCAUGCCAACUAUAAGGUUCAAGCAAUCGCAUCUGACCUGGUAAGAGCGGUGUGCUAGAUGAAAUCUGCAGUAUUCAAUAACUAAGCUCAAAGAAGUAGGUUUAACUCGUGCAGGUAGUGAUAUAGGAUUGCUCUUUGACGAUCCAAGUCCUGAUGCCAUUUCAUGAACAGCAGUGGGGCAUAACAUUGCAAUCUCUCGUUCCACUUCUUGUAUAGAACCAUCAGAAGUUUAAAUCCAUGCAUAGGGUUCCAUUCUCUAAAUUCCAUAAUAAAAUACACACAUAAUUCAUAUUGCAAAGUUUACAAACUUUAUGGUGAAAACAGAUCAUGUAUGUUGCAAGAGAUCUCAAAUACUUGAGUCAUAUUGCAUACCUCAUGUAUAUUUUAUUGAAGAAGUUGAUAUUUUACUAAGAAUGACUAAACCUAGGCGAUCACUACAAAGUUUUAUACCUAUGUAACAACAUUAAAUUUAUUAACACGAAAUCAAAACAAGCCACUUUGGUUUUUUUAUUAAAUUUGAAAAAUAUGCACACUAUAUUUAGUAAUUAGGUGUUCUACAGCUUUUCCUGAAUUAAUUGUGAAAUGAAAAUACAAUAUUAAUAGCAUUAGAACAAAACAGUCAAAGAACCAAUUUUUCGGGUGCACCCCUAGUUUUAGUUAUAACAAGUAAUAUUCUUGGUGAUUUUUUCAAAAUAUUCCCGAAUUUAAUAUAUUACUUUAAUAAAAAUCUGAUUUAAUUCUUCAAGUCAGCAAUAAGCCUAAACAAGAAAAAUCCUUAAUUAUAAAUACUAAGAAGCGAUGAAACUUUUUUACUACUAAUAAGGUUUAAGAUUUCCAAUUUUUACAAUUUACAUAGUGCAAGAGAUUUAAGCAAUAACUUUAAGGGAGGUGUAAUAACAGGGACAUGAAAUCUUUCACAUCAAAGAAAGGCGUUCUAUUACUUAACAUAUAAAAUAGAACAAAACAAUAACUAUAUAAUAUCAAACACGUUUUCUUUCAGCUUCCGACAUAGUACCAAACAAGUUUUAUGUUUUAGUUUUAUUUUUUGUAGAAUGAAAUGUAGAGCCAGAGCCAAAAUUAUUACUAUAUAAUAUUAAGUACAAAAACCAGAUAUAUGCCAUCAUUGUAUAUAAGAAAUAAAUAUUCAAACAGAAGAAUUAUUGUUUUGUUCUUUUUCAAGGUUUGCUAGUUGCUACGACUAAUGAUGCCAAUACGAUAUUGUGUUUAUUAAAUAUCUUGAAAAGAGAUGACCUUUUGAAGGGCAUUGGCAAAAAAGAAAGCACAAGGAUACAGUCUGGAGUGGAUAAUUACACGGAAGUGAGUAAAUCUUUAUUUUUAAGUUUCAACAGCAAAAUAUGAUUAAAUCUAUUGCACACCAAUCAGCAACACAUCGACAGAUACAAUUGAAAGGAGCGGAUAAGAUUACCUCGACACAUGUCUCUUCCUCUGCCUCGCCAACACAAGCCCUACAACGCCUUUAUUCCUCCCCUUGCAGUUCUUUCUCUAUGAUCUAAGAAUCACCAAAAAGAACUUAAUAAUCCAACUUAAAUGACAUAUGAUAGCUUCUUCACGAUAAUAUAUAAAUCAGACUGUACCAUAAAAACUAUAUAUAAGAUAACAAGAGUAUGCAUUGUCUACUAAUGCAAUCCCCAAAAUGCAAGAAUGCAAAUAUGUUGAACAUGUAAUUACUAUAAGUAGGCAUCUUACUUUGGUAAAGUUCUUCUUCUCCGCUCCAUAACCUUUAACAUACAAGUAUCCCAUUCCAUUAUAAGCUGAAAAAAGUCAUAACAUUAAGGCACAACAGCACCCAGAACAUAACAUUUUGCUAAAGGCAGAAUUCCCCAAAAUACAUUUAUCAAUCCAUCCAUUGGGACAAGUGCGUAUCUACUAAAUUAUAUGAAAAUUCAUGAUAUACAGAUAAAGCCCACUAAACACAUUGGUCUCAGUUUAAACCCUCGAGUACAAACUGAGAGAAGGGUUACAGGGGGAAAAAGAAAACAAAAAAAAAAAAAAUCAAAGUAUAAAUACCGUCUGCUUCAGAGUCACUAUCCUUCACAGUAUAUCCCACACGCUUGCCAUUUUCUCUGCAUAUACUGACCCGAAUUGUAUGACUAAUCUAAUUACACCAAUAAACACCACGGGCACAUACAACUAUACAAGCAAGCUAUCACCAUGUCCAGAAUAGACAUAUGACUCAUGUGAAUAUACCCGAGUCACCUGCUAAAUUCAUUGAAAGGGAUAUGGACCGAGCUGACGCCUGACGGCGGUUACGCCCAAGGACAAUUUUGUAAUUCAAGAAAUAUUGAGGGCAUGCUGGUAAUUUUACAAGCAUUUUUCAGGCUCAUUUUGCCCCUGGUCGCCUUUUAAUAUAUAGAAGUAGAUUACAUAAAAACUUGAUAGAUGAAAUCUAACAUCCAAGUAUAUCCAAAUUAUAAUUAUAAAAUAUUAUAAAAUCCAGAACAGAAUCCAGAAUAAAAUCAUAUAUAUAUUUUUUGCAUGAUUAAUUUAAUAUAAAAUCAUGAUAUUUUUAAUUCAUAUUUAUUAUUAAACGUGUUAGACAUUAUUAUUAUUUAUAAUAAAAAAUUAAAUAAUUUAAAAUUAGAAUUUAAUUCACAUUUUUUUUCCUUUUUAAGGCGUUCUUCUGUACAUUGGCGAAGAGCUCCAACACUGUGAUCAUUUUUGGGCGAUGGAAGAAAUAUUGAAAUUGAUUCAAGAUUCUUAUUACAAUCUCACAGGAUAUAUUAACCAUAUAAUGAUAACUCAUCCUGACAGAUGGAGAGCACUAACUAAAAUGGAAAGGACUGCACUACUCUUCUUAGGGUUUGUCUAGUGUGUGCACAUGGGCACGCACCAAAUUCUAUAAUUUUGGUGGAUUUUGAUUGGUGUGGUUGGUGAAUUUACAGGAGGUCCACCAUUAUAAAGAAACAUGAGCCAAUCAAAAAUCACCAAACUUAUAAAAUUUGGUGCUGUGUGCCCAUGAGCACACGCUAGAAAAACCGCUCUUCUUGUUACUCCAGCAAGUCUAGUAGGGUCCAGUCAACAUUAUUAACAUGUACUACAAGUAAACAUGAGCAGUGAGCACUGAUGAGUCAUGAGUGAAUAAUAUUGUUUUAUACUCCCCUUUUAACCGGUAACAUGCCAAGCCUGUACAGAAGAGUGUGGUGCUGUUUGAUGAGCACCGACUGAGCAAAAAAUUGAAAAAAAUAUCGAAAUUGAAAUCGAUAAAAAUCGAGUCAGAAAAAAUCGAUUCAAAAUUGAUAUGAUGAUAUCGGAAAAUGAAAAACCGAAUCAAUUUAAAUAAAUAAUAUAUAUGUAUAAUAUUCUGAAUUUAAAAAUAAUUUCAAAGAAAUAAAUAUGUUAUAUUUUAUAAGUUGGGCUAAUAUAUGUUAAAAAUAAUUUCAAAGAAAUAAAUAUGUUAUAUUUUAUAAGUUGGGCUAAUAUAUGUUUGCAAGUAUAUGUUGAUUUGAGAUAUUGAUUUCUUACUCUUUGUCAUGUGUAUUUGAUGUAAAUAUUUCUUAUUUGCUUAAUUUGUUUAUGCUGAAAUUCGUAUAUAAUAUUUUCUGUGGAUCAGUUGGGUUGUAAAAAUCGUAGUAAAUUGAAAAUUGAUCGCAUUUUGUUGAUUCUGGACAUUAUGAAAAGCUCUCUUCGAUACCUACAACUUUUAUCUCAGGCAGUUUGUCGAAAUUCGUAAUGUAUCUAUGCUAAAAAUCACAUUCUUUGUUACCCUUCAGUUCUUAGUCGCGAAACUUUUUCCCAUUUUCAAAAAUUCGCUAUAAAUUGAUCGUACGUCGAAACUUUAUUCAUGAUACCAAUCUGAAAAGCUUAAGAUAUAAUCUUUCAUUAUCAGUCAUACCCAUUUGUUGUUUAAAUUGAUUUAAUUAUCUAAACUGACUUACAAAGAUUCAGGGCUGUUUAUACUUUUCUGCUGAGUUGUUCCGUGUUUAAAAAUUCGUAUCUCCCUCGUUAUUUGUCAUAAAAUUGUUAUCUUUACCAAUUAUGAAACCUAUGAGAAUGCUCUUUAAGUGUUUAGUUAUAGUCUAAUUGAGAUCAGUUUGUUUGAAUCGUCAAAAUCAGCUUUGUAUGUAAUCUGUUCCUGAGUAAAAUUCUGUUGUGUAACUUGAACUUCUAAAAUUCAUAACUAAUUCGUUAUCUGUCCGUUAUUUAUGAAUCUGGUCAUUUUGGAAUCCUUGUUGAAUCUACUUUAAUUCUCCAGUUGACUAUUUUCUCAUAUUCAGAAGUUAUCUUUGGUUAAGAUUGAGAUUUGUAACAGCAUGUAUGUUAUUUAUCUUAUUCGAUAAAUGAAGUUGUGUUAAUUGUUAUUAGUUGUUAAAGUUUGAAUUUUGUUAAGACUUGUUAUGUGCCUUGCUCUUGAUUGUUUAAGGAGUACUACAUGUUAAUUAUGUUUUGUUUAUUAAUUAAAUGUAUAGGCUUUGUUCGUGUUAUUAAUUUCGGAUUUUAAGUGUCGACUUUGAGGUAAGUACUUUUUGACUGACUUUUAUUUCCGAAAAGAUAUUUUGAUUUUGUGAAUUUCAAAUUUUUGUAUAAGAUAUAAGAAUUUUGUUUCGAAAUUUAUAAGAUAUAAGACACGAGAAUCUUUGAAGACCCAGUCUCUACGUUUCGAACCUGUUCGUAAUUUACGCUAUAGUUCCGGAACUAGCCUUAAAUACCCUUAGUAGGCCCACAAGUGUGCAACUUCAGAUACCUAUUAAGGGCGCGUGAUUAUUGAAUUUUAGAUCCCGGUCACUGGGUAAGUGUGGCAAAAGAAUAAGAAUAAGAAGAAGAUCCCGGUCACUGGGAAAGUGUGGCCGUAGGGCAAGACUGUUGUAGUAUUGAUAAGAUUUUUGUUUCUAUUCUGUUUUAAAUUUUGUUUGUUUUUAAAAUAUAAACUUUGGGUUUGAUUUGCUUUUACAAAUGUUUCAAAAAUUAUUAUUGUUUUCAGAAACAAUAUUUUAUAAAAAACACCCACUGAUUUUCAAGAUUUAUUUGUUAGUCAAAUUGUUACUUGCUGAGCUGUGUAGCUCAUCCCUUUUACAGUUUUUCAGGUUUGAUUUAAGAGCGAGUUGAUGUGCAUUGGAUUUGGAGUUCGGUGAUAUUAGAUUUGAUUGAUGUUUGGACUUCCGUUAGCUGCGCUUUUGUAAUAGUCACCUUUGUAAGAGGUUUUUGGAUUAAUAAAUUGUGUUUAUUUUAGUUUUGGAUUUAGUUUUAAUAUUCCGAAAAUUCGGGAUGUUACAGGGACCUAUCUUAAGUUUUGAACAGCGGGCCCUAAGUGUGAGCUGAUGUGCUCAUGAGCAAGAAAAACCUAAUAAUUAACACUGUUGCAAUGAUUCAGGCUCCUUAUUAAACUAACCAGUUUGAACGUAAAGUUUUCAAAACUAACCGGCCUACGUUCAACUUUUCAAAACUAACCAACCUAAUUCUAAGGAAGUCGGACGACCCCAAGUGGGGGAGAGAAGAGUAGGUCGCCUCUAGCACGGGCGACCCGUGGUGUUUAUGGCUGAGGGGCUAGGAUCGCCCUAGCACGAGCGACCCGUGCUCUUUUCACUUUCUCAGGCUUUAGAAGUCUACAACUCCAAGAACUAGUAAUUUCAGAUUGUGCUUUCAUGCUAAGAAACUGUGGAGGAUGUUGAAAUGUCUCUUAUUUCUAUUAUCAUCAAUUUCGUGUUUGGAAAAUGUACUAUUAAUAUCAAUUUCAUUUUCUUAUUAAUUUCAAUUACUAUUAAAAUUAAUUUUGAUUAUUACUCUUACUAAUUCUCUACUAUUUUUAAUAUUUUAUUCUUUUUGAUUAUUAUUUUUAUUAAUUCCGAGUAUUACUUUUUUUAUUUUAAAAAUAUUUUCAUUUCUAUUUUUCAUUAAAUUCGACUAUUUUUAUAAAAUUCUGAUUAUUACUUAUAUUAUUUUACAAAUAUUUGUAAAUAUUAUAACAAUAAUAUUUCUAAAUUCCGAUUAUAACAAUAAUAUUUUUAAAUUCCGAUUAUAACAAUAUUAUUUUACAAAUAUUUUCUCUUUUUUUUCCGAUUUCAUCUAUUAUGUUUACCCUAUUUGUAAAUAUAAUUCGAUUAUUUAAUAUUUGUAAAAAAGAAUUCGAAUAUUUGUAAAUUCCGAUUACAACAAUAAUUUUUGUAAAUUCCGAUUAUAACAAUAAUAUUUGUAAAUUCUGAUUAUAAUAAUAUUUGUAAAACAACGGAGCAGUUUAAGUUAACAACUUCCAAUCACUUGCUCGCUUAGCAUAAUCUGGUGGAGGGUUUGUAUCAUGUUUGUGCUUUCAUCCACUGCAAAACUGAAUUUCAAUCGUUCAUUAUCUUGUUUUGACUCUGAACACAAUACUCUUGACUUGUGGCCGCUAUUGUUUUAGCCAAAUAAUUAAAUACAUGAAAGAACUGGUGAAUUAAAUCAGCGGAGAUCCAAAAACAACACCUGAAUUUCAUAUAAGUGCACUUAUAUUCAGGGACAGUGGGCUACUUGUCCCCACUACCGUGUGAGUACAUUAAUUUUUAUGUCAUGCUCUUUCUGGUUUUUUUCAUAUGACGCUUUGAUUUUUGGCACACAUUUCUAAGUGCUUUGAGCGGGUAGUUAAAAAUAUUAUUUUUUGAAUUUUUUUUCUGAAUAAAAAUUUUGAUUAUAUAUUAUUAUUCAGAAAAAGAAAAUUUAAAAAAUAAUAUUUUUAACUACCCGGUCAAAGCACUUAAAAAUGUGUGCCAAAAGUCAAAGCGUCAUAUAAAAAAAACGGAGGGAGUAUAAAUUAACAUUGUAGGGUGCAGCUUUGCCCAGGCCUCUACUGGAUAUAGCAGGGGUUCGACUCCUUCCUAUAUCCACAGCACAGAACUUUAGGAAUUUUAGUCGACUCCUGCCUGCAGCAGUUUUUUUUCUAUGUUUUAGUCGCCUCCUGCCUGCAGAUUGUAUCUUUCAUUACAAAUUUUCUUUAGCCCACAGCACAUAGUCGACUCUUGCCUGCAGAUUCUAUAUAUAUUUCAUUACAAACUUUUGUUUUCUUCUAUGUUUUAUUCGACUCCUGCCUGCAGAUUGUAUAUUCAUUACAAACUUCUGUUUUUUUUAUAAUUUAUGAGUUUGUUGUUGUAUUGGUAAGAGGAAGUUUGCAUAGCCAAAGUUUGAAGGUUUUUAUCUAACAACAGACUCAAGACUCAGUUAUAUAGUGCUUUGCUUUCUACAGGUUUUCUUCACUUGGAUCAUAAACUCAAUACAUCUUACCUAAGAACAAGUUACACACAUGUUGGCACCUAAUCCUCAACCUCUAGAAAACAUGUCCCAGCCUUUUCAGGUGUGAUAUUAAAUAUGUGGGUUUGGUGCAUUGUUAACGUAAGUAGUUUAGCCAAAUAAACGUAGAUGAAAGAACCGGUGUUUGAAGUAUAAAGGCAUGCAUCAUGAAACGGGGUACAAGCAAACUAAAUAAAGCAAAUGAACAGAGAAAUGCACAUUCUAAAGAGAAGUACAGUAGUUAUAUGAGUGCAAUCUGUUGUGACUUGCCCGAGAGUAGACAGUAAAAACAAGCAAGAAGUCCACAACCAUCACAUUCCAGAAGAAAAGAGAAUGAAUCGGAAAAACUGAAGCACUGUGAACAAGUGUGUAUGGGCUUCUUUCUUGUAGGCGUCUUCAUAACUAAUGCAAGUGUGUGUGGUUUAUCCGAAAUAAUAACUUUAAUUGUCCCUCCUAACUUGACAUUGUUGAGCCAAAACACGCAAGUAUAGUGAUAAGAAUGUUCAGAUUCACUGCAAUGGUAGAGCAAAUCUUGGUUGUUAACUCGUUCCUCACAGAUUUCACAGUAGAAAGCUCCUUCGUAGAAGAAUGGUGGAUAUCUCAAGGUUAAGGGGUGAGAAUCAUAUUUGUGUUCCAUCCUACUUGGUAUUAUUAUACAACAUAUAUCAAUCUGGAAAUUAUUGCAGGUUUCACAUCCAUACACCCCAAACUCAUUUCGAUACCUGGUUAUACUGCAGGUAGAAUUCAAAGCUGGCCGCUGAACAAGGGAGUGAUGUUUGUGAGAUUUGUAUUUUAUUCUUGUUGGUAAGAAUGCACAACGGAUAUCAACAUAGAUAUCACAAGUCUGGCAGUGAUAGUAGAAUCCAUUUGUCCAAAAGCCGCAAACUUCACAGACCACAGUAUCAUAAAAUUUAUCCUUCAUCUGAAGCAUGAGAGAAUGGUGGGGGUGAAAAUGCAAUGCUCCUACAGGCAACUUCUGUGGCAACUUAGUCGCACAGAAGGAAUGGAUGAAGAAACCACACUCUAUACAAGCGUAGUAAGACGGAUGGGAAACGGUUAUAGGUUGAAUACACCCGUUGCAUAUCAGCUCUCUCCUAUCAUCAUCACUGUCAUCGCUGUCAUUGUCACAGGUGGGAAACUGGAGCUGUUUUAAUGGAUGGAUCUGGUGACUCCAGUGUUUUUCAAUAAUGUGUGGAUCAUUAGAUGUUACUGACAUCGCAACACUGAUUUCAUCUUCACCUUCAAAGUUGACUUGGGAUUUGCAACACUGAGUCACAAUGAGAUUAAACAUUGAUUCCUGGCUUUGCAGAGGAAACAGUACCAGAUCAGGAUCAAUAUCGAUGUCAUCUACUUCAUUCUCAUUUGUGAAAACAAAAAAUUAAAAUUAAUUCAGAGAUGAUUAACACAUGAGCUCAUGAAAAUUUAGAGAAGAGAUGAUGUGAAUAACAAAGUGAAAAUAAAUUAAAAGGUACUUACACCAUGGAUAUUGUGGAUGUAGAACAUUUCAUGUGCACAAAAUAUGAGUACCUGUCGCAAUAAUACACCCAGCUCCUGCGGUAAACAAAUCGGCGGCAGAUACCACAGUAUUGGUUAAAGACGAGAUGAAUGUCAGGUAUAGAGUAGACGAGAGUGAGAGGGUGAUUGUGAUAAGUAGGCGAUGGAAUACUCAAGGGUGAAAAGGCGCAGGUCUUGUGAAUCCAGAACUCACAGGUGGUGCAAACAUAUGAAGAGUCGUUCGCUUUCUCAUGACAGGCUUCCUUGUUCAUUAACGUCAGCGUGCUCCUUGUGUCCUUCAUGAUGAAGCACCCUCUGCUCCAAACCACAAAACACACACACAUCAAAGUCACAAUCAACACAUGCAUAAGAGACCUUAAUGACACGAUAACAAAUAUCACAGGUGUAAUCAUCAGGUCGUGGAAGGAGAGAAAGAGGAUGGAUGGUGUGUUUGUGGUGGUUAAUUUGCUGGGGGAAUUCUGCACAAGUCUUAUGCAAGUAGAAAUUUUGACAAGCAACAUCGUCAUUACAACUAACACAGGUAUAUGUUGGGGAGCCUGCGACUCGUUUUUAGCAAAUAAUGCAAGCAGCAUCCUCUGCAAAAAUAAAAUCCUGUUGUAAGCUUAAUGAAUGCUCAUGUAGAUAAACAGAUAUGGGUAAUUCUGCACAAGUCGACUUGUGCAGGUAGAAACUUCGAAGAUCAUUGUGUCCAAUACAGAAAUAUAUAUCAGAGCCCUGAACUGAUUUGUUGCACGUAUGGCAUAUAAAAUCAUUUCUUUCAACAAUACACUCUGUGAAUGUGUACCCCGAAUUGCUGAAGAACUCCAACACUGAAAUCAUUUUUGGUUGAGAGAAGAGAUUUAAAGAUGGGUUUCAAGGUUCUCAGUGGCCUAACAAAUUUGUUCUUGGGGUUCUAGGGUCGAACAUACAUAUUUAUAUAUAAGACGAUAGCCGGCUAUAUUAAUUAACACCGAAAAACUAAACUAAUUAACAGCAUUAAACUAUACUGUUACCCGAGUAAAUUAAUUCUGGAUCAAGGCAUGGGUCGAAUAAAACUUGUAAAAACAGUUCAAUUGGGUGACUUGGGUCUAUUCAAGGGCUCAAAGGUAGACUGACUUCGCAUCUCUUUAAUAAUUUCAUAGAGAGCAGGCCGGCUCAAGAUAAUAAUAAAAUAUUUUGUCAAAAAUAUUUAAUCUUAUUAACUCAUCUUUCCUUUAUGCAAUUAAAGAGAUAUAUGUACAUAUACAUACUCCCUCCGUUUCAAUUUACAUGUCCACUUCCAUGAAAAAAUUUUGUUUCAAAUUACUUGUCCAUUUAAACUUUCAAUGCAAAAUCAUAUUUCCAAAAUCAUUUCUACUCCACAUAUUUCUUAUUUAUAUUUCUUAGAUCAAUCUCACUUCACAUAUUUUGAUCAUUUAAUACAAUUAAUUUGUGAACAUCCACUUUUCUUAAACUAUGUGAUUUUUUUAAAGUGGACAUCUAAUUUGAAACGGAGGGAGCAGAUGAUAUGCACGAGAGUCCACAAUCAAGAAAUAAAUAAGUAUCAAUUUAUAUUUUUCUCAUGCAUCGGGACAUAUGUCGAAUAACGUUAGAUCACAUAUCGUUGUUGUAUUCACAUCACAUUUGAAUUAAUAUACUUCAUUUUUUCAUAUCGCAUUCGCCUUUCACAUCCCAUUUGCAUUAGUAUACUCCAAUCUAAUAUUCCUAACAACCAUAUAAUAAUAUGAUAGAUACCUUUCACACCCCAUUUACAUUAAUAUACUUCAUUCUUUUAUAAAAGUAUCUCCAACAGCGUUGGCUAUAAUUGUUGGCUAAAUUGAACCAGUAAGACAUUAGGUAAAAUUUGCUGAACCUAUUUAAAAAUAGAAUGUUAUUAAUAUUUUAGUUUGUUAAAAUAAAAUAUAUCAGUUUAAUAUGGUAAUAAAUGAUGUGCAAUCAUCCUACAGAUUUCUGACAGACCUGCAAGGUUCGACAAAUAUAGCCAUCCAUAGAAGGUUGGCUAAAAUUAUAGACAACAAGUUCACGUGGUUGGAGUAUGAUUUUUUUCAACGGCUAAAUUUUCUAUAUUUGGAAUGCCAGCUCAUUUUUUAGCUAAAGAGUUUGUAUGGUUGGAGAUGCGAACAACCAUAUAAUUAUAUCUUAUUCUAACAUAUGGAGAGCAAAACACUAGCAUAAAUGAAAGUAAAAUUUUUUGCUCACAAAAGUUGAGUAUAAAAUCUUAUAUAAAAUGAUGUGUUAAUUUUGAUUGGAACAAACCCUAUAUUUACAUAAAUAAAAUCAAUUAAAAAUGGGCAAUGCUAGAGACCCCUAAAAAAAUUCUCAAAAAUCUUUACCAAAUGAUGUGGCAAACAAGUGGCUAGUUAUGAUUGGGUGAUUGAUGAAUCUGCAGGGGGACUCAUUAUUAUGGGAGAGAAUUCAGCCAAUCAGAUUUGGACACAUCAUUUGGGAAAAUUAUUUGGAACAAUUGUUUGGGGUCUUCAGCAUUUUCCAUUAAAAAUAUUUUAUCUCAAUUACAUGUCAUUUUAUACAAAAUUUUAUACCUAUUUCUAUAUAUAGCACUUCCGAUCAAAACAUGCACUCUUAUUAUUAUACCAAGACUACCGAGUCUUUAAUGUAUAAUGAAGCGCUAAUGAUAUUCUUUUUUAAAUUGAUACCUAAUCCUUGUUAAAUAAAUUUGAUACCUAAUCCUCCUUAGAGAUGGACUGCCAAAUUAUUUAAUUAAACUACUGCUUACUUUUGUCUUUUGUCUUUUGGGGAUAUUAGACGACUACAGGUCUGUACGAAUUAUUGAUAGUCAUUUUGUGUUUUUAAUAUACUAGUUUAUGACCGGUCCAAGCACGAGAUUAUAUAAAUUUUUUAAAUUUAUUAUUUAUUGGAAUUUAAUAUUUUUGAUAUAUUAUUUAAAUUAUUAUUGUCGAGAUACAAAACUUAUUACAUUUACAUACUCAUAUUUGAUUAUGUUUAAAUUUUAUUUUUCCAAAAAAAAUAUUCUCAUAAUAUAUAUUAUGAGAUGAAUUUAUUCCAAUAAUACAUUUUAUUUAAAUAAAAUCAUUAUAUUGUUUUUGAUUCUAAAUACAUGGAAAACAAUUCAACACCAGCAUAUAUAAAUUGACUGAGAGGGUAUUCAAUCUUUAGUACAACUUAAUUUUUAAUUCAUAAUUAUAUUUAGACGUUUAAUAAAUAUUAUUAAGUGUAAUGCUAAUUGAAGUUCUUGUAAAUUUAAUAUUUACAUCACGGAGUGUCAAGUGUGACCCUCAGGAAGUGGUACAAGAGACAGAUGGUGUAUGUUGUGCUUAUGGUGGCCUAUUUGAAUGCGCAAUUCUGCACAACUCUUAUGCAAGUAGAAAUCUCAGCAUAAUAUGCAGUAUGUCAAUAAUAUAAAUUCUAUCUAUUAUAAAUUGGCUGCUCUGUAGACAAAAAAAGAAUGUAGAUUAAAACAUCAAAAAUAUCCGGCAACUGGCAUGAUGAUAAAAACAUGUAUAUAGUCCUCCUUAUGAUAAAAAAUAUCCUGAAAUCAUUGAGGGAAGAGAUAGAUGAUCAUGAAAUUUCUUCUGCAUUAUUUUUGUGACAGACUUAUCAAGGCAUGUUUUAAUUGCAAAUCGCAAUCACCUUUCACAUACGGCUAUAUGAAAUACUAUUUGUCUUCCAACCGCGUGGAAUAUUGAUGGAAUAUAUUAAGGUCCUUACUAUGGUGUAUUAUAGCCGGCUAUGCAAGCUGGAAUAAUUCUUUUGUUCUCUCUAGUUGAGAGGAAAUGAUUUUCUCUGUUUGACUAAGAUAUAUGAUCAACUGGAGUUCGACAUUCAUCUGUCGACACUGGAGCUCUUCAUAUUGUUUUCAAUGACAAAGGGUACAGCGUACAAGCAAACGAAAUGAAGCAAAUGAACAGAAAAGUGCACAUUUUAAAGAGAAGUACAAUAAGUUCAGUGGAGAUCCCAAAACAUCUGAAUUUUAUAGAAGUGCAAUCUGUUGUAACUUGCCCGAGAGUGGACAUUCCAAGCAUGCAAGAAGUCCACAACCAUCACAUUCCAGAAGAAAACAGUAGGUGCUGUAAUAAGCGAAGCACUGUGAACAACUGUGUAUGGGCUUCUUUCUUGUAGGCGUCUUCAAAACUAAUGCAAGUGUGUGUGGUUUAUCCGAAAUAAUAACUUUAAUUGUCCCUCCUAACUUGACAUUGUUGAGCCAAAACCCGCAAUAAUAGUGAUAAGAAUGUUCAGAUUCACUGCAAUGGUAGAGCAACUCCUGGUUGUUAACUCGUUCCUCACAUAUUUCACAGUAGAAUGCUCCCUCGUAGAAGAAUGGUGGAUAUCUCAAGGUUAAGGGGUGAGCAUCAUAUUUGUGUUCCAUCCUACUUGGUAUUAUUAUACCACACAUAUUAAUCUGGAAACUGCUGCAGGUUUCACAUCCAUAUUCCACCCCAACCUGAUUUCGACACCUGGUUACACUGCAGGUAGAAUUCGAAGCUGGCCGCUGAACAAGGGAGUGAUUCUUGUGAGAUUUGUAUUUUAUUCUGGUUGGUAAGAAUGCACAACGAAUAUCAACAAAUAUAUCACAAGUCGGGCAGUGAUAGUAGAAUCCAUUUGUGCAACUUCUGCAAACUCCACAAACCACCAAAUCAUAAAAUUUGUCCUUCAUCUCAAGCAAGAGAGAAUGGUCAGGAUGAAAAUGCGAUGCUCCUACAGGCAACUUCUGUGGCAACUUAGUCGCACAGAAAGAAUGGAGAAAGAAACCACACUGGAUGCAAGCGUAGUAAGAGGGAUGGGAAACGGUUAUAGGUUGAAUACAGCCGUUGCAUAUCAGCUCUCUCCUAUCAUCAUCACUGUCGUCGCUAUCAUUCUCACAGUUUGUAAACUGGAGCAGUUGUAAUGGAUGGAUCUGGUGACUCCAGUGUUUUUCAAUAAUGUGAGGAUCGAUAGAUGUUAUUGGCAUGGUAACAUUGAUUUCACCUUCAUCUUUAAAGUUGUCUUGGUACUUGCAACACUGAGUCACAAUGAGAUCAAAUAUUGAUUCCUUGCUAGGCAGAGGAAAUCGUACCAGAUCAGGAUCAUUAUCCAUGCCAUCCGCUUCAUCCUCAUUUCUGAAAACAAUAAAUAAAAAUUAAUUCAGAGAUGAUAAGACAUGAGCUCAUUCUUAGAGAAGAAAUGAUGUGAAAAGCAAAGUAAAAACAAUUGAAAGGUACUCACACCAUGGGUAAUGUGGAUGUAGAACAUUUGAUGUGCACAAAAUAUGUGCACUUGUGGCAAUAAUACACCCAGCAGCUGGGGUAAACGUAUCGGCGGCAGAUACCACAGUAUUGCUUAAAGAAGAGAUGAAUGUCAGGAACAGCGUAGACUAGAGUGAGAGGGUGAUUGUGAUAAGUAGGCGAUUGAAUGAUGAAGGGUGAAAAGGCACAGCUCUUGUGGAUGCAGAACUCACAAGUGGUGCAAACAUAUGAAGAGUCUUUCGCUUCCUCAUGACAAGCAUCACACUCAAAAAGAGAUUCCUUCUUCAUUAAUGUCAGAGCGUGCUCCUUGUGUCCUUGAUGAUGAAGCAGCCUCGGUUCCAAAGCACAAAAAACACACACAUCAAAGUCACAAUCAACACAUGCAUAAGAGACCUUUAUAUUACCAUGACAAAUUUCACAGCUGUCAUUAUCAGAGCGUGGAAGGAGAGAAAGAGGAUGGAUGGUGUGUUUAUGGUGGUUUAUUUGUUGGGGGAAUUCUGCACAAGUCUUAUGCAAGUAGAAAUUUUGACAAUCAACAUCGUCAUUACGACUAACACAGGUAUAUGUAGGAGAGCCUACAACUCGUUCUUUGCAAAUAUUGCAAGCAGCAUCAUCUCCAAAAAUUAAAUCCUCUUCUAAAUUUAAUGAAUGCUCGUGUAGAUAAACCGAAACCGGUAGUUUUGAACAAGUCAUGUGCAGGUAGAAUCUUUCAAGACUAUUGUGUCUAGUACAGAAAUAUAUAUCAGAGCCUUGAGCUGCUUUGUUGCACGUAUGGCAUAUAUUAUCGUCUCUCACAACUGUACACUCUACGAAUGUGUAGUCGGAAUUGCUGAAGAGCUCGAACACUGAAAUCAUCUUUGGUUGGUUGAGAGAAGAGAUUUAAAAAUGGGUUUCAAGGUUCUUAGGGGCCUAACAAUUUUGUUCUUAGGGACCUUUUACAUCCCAUUUGCAUUAGUAUACAUCAUUCUUUCAUGUCCUCACAAUCAUAUAAUUAUAUCUUAGAGCACUAGUUAAAAUCAAAGCAAAAUGUUUUAAGCAAAACAUCUGUCACAAAAUGUGGUGUUAAAUUUUGAUUCGAAUAGACCCCCUUAUAUUAGAUAAAUAGAGUAAACUUCAAAGUUGUAUUCAAAAUUUACACCGAUUUUCAAAAAGUUGGCCAGAGUUCCAAAUUAUCAGAAUUGUGGCCAAAUUUGACUCCCCUUUUUAAAAUGUGGCUCCCAUUAAAUGUCAAUAACGGAGUAACGGACAGAAUGGUAAAAACAAUUUCCAAAUUUUCAGAAAAGUGGCCAAACUUUGGUCCGUUUUUCAAAAAUGUGGCUCCCGUUAGACUUCCGUUAGCGAUAUUUAACGAGAGCCACACUUUUAAAAAGCGGAGCCAAAGUUUGGCCAUUUUUUUGAAAAUUUGGAAUUUUAACAAACACUUUGAAAAUCGCUGCAAACUUUGGUCACAACUCUGAAGUUUACUCCAGAUAAUUAUUAUUAAUUAAAAUAUUACAUCUCAAUUAUUAAAUCAUCCUAUCAAGCCACUUUUAUGCAUAUAGCACCAUCAAUGACAAUAAUGCACUGUUUUUUUAAUGCACCAAGUCCGGUGAGUCUAGUCAAUAUUAAUUUAUAAUAUGCAUAAAGAACCAGUAAUGAUAUUCUUUUUUAAAUUGAUACUCCUCUAAACAUGCACUGCCAGAUUAUUUAACUAAACUGCUGAUUACUUUGUCUUUGGCUUUUAGCGAUAUUAGACAACUACGCGUCUUACGAAUUAUUGGUAGAGUCAUUUUGUGUUUUAAAUCUAUUAUAUUAGAGGAAGUCCAAUAAUGUGCUAAAUUGAUGUCUUAAGUUAAAAUAUAAGGCAAUUGGAUGAAAUGUGUGCUCCAACAAUGUCUUAGUAGUGCCUUAAACCACUAGGACAUCCAAAAAUUGCCUCAUUUUUGAGGCACUUCUAGGCAUAUCCUAAACUAAUUUUUUCAUUAAAAUAUUAAUUUCCCACCAUUUCAAUAUAUCUCUCUCCUAUUACUUUUUCACUUCCCUCCAAUUCUAAUUCAAAUAAAUUAUUAAUUUAAUAAUAAGGCACAAUUAUAAAGCAUGUUGUUGGAGUUCAUGCAUGAAAAAGAUGUCCUAAAUUAUUAUGACACUAUUUUUUAUUAUAUUUAUAAGACAUUUGCUAGGACACUGUUGGACUUGCUCCUAGAAAAAAGCCGUCAACGAAAAUAAAGUCAGUUUCAUCGGAGAACCUGUAAUACCAACUUAUUAGCAAUGAAAAUAGGAGAGUUUGAUUUUAGUUGAUGUUCUGGUUGCUCGCAGGAUUAUUUUGUUUUCAAAUUUUGCAACCACUUACAACUUAUUAUGUAAUUAAAUAAUCUUCAAUAAUUUUUUUCAAAAUUACAUUUAUAAUUGCAUAAAAGUUGCUAGCAGUUGCAGAUAUAGUUGCAAAUGUAACGCCCGUAUUUUUAUAAAAAAAAUGUCAAUAUUUUUGCAAAAAUAUUUUACUUGCAUAUUUGUGAAAAAAAAACCUGGUAAUAAUUGUUAAAUAAAAACAAUUAUAUGAUGAUAAUCAAAUAAAAUAAUACGACGAUAACCAAAUUUUGAUAAAUUAAUAUCUGCUCAUAUUCCGGUGAAAGGGGUUUCAAACAUGAUAUGAAAUUUAUAAAAUUAUUUCAUAAGUUAAAUUAUUUGAGUUAAAAAUAAAAGGCAUAUUUAUGUUAGGGAUUUAACUUUGUUAGUUGGAUAGUCGGUACAUUACAAGAUCCCAACCGACAUGGAAGUCUAUUCAUAAUAGUAUAAUAAUAAUUACAAAUCCUAAUCAAUAUUGAAAUCUUUAAUUAUAAAAUUUUAAUCAAUAUGAAUUUAUUUUAUAAUAAUAUAAUAAUUAAAAAAUAAAAUUAAUAUACAAAUCUUUUUAUAAUAUAGUCACAGUCAACACAUGUAUAGGGAUGACAAAAGUUUUCGAACCGAGAGAUGUCCGACUGAACCGAUCCAAAUGAUUUUGGAGAGCGUACAACUUGUUUUUUGCAAAUAUUGCAUGUAGCAUCCUUUCCAAAAAUAAUACUCCCUCCGUCUCAAUUUAUAGGUCCAGUUUGGAAAAAGAAUUUGUCCCAAAAUAUUUGUCCCUCUCUUCUUUCAAUACAAAUUUAUCUACAUCUUAAAUGUGAUUUUUUUGAAACUCAACAUUAUUCUCAUUUCUCAAUGCACUAAAUCUCUAUAUUUAUUGUGAUUUUUUUGAAACUCAACAAUAUUCUCACUUAUCAAUGCACUAAUUAAUGAUACAUAUGAUAAUAUUCCAUCUAACCAAUUUUUUUCUUAAUACAUGUGUUUAUUCCAAAAUGGACCUAUAAAUUGAGACGGAGGGAGUAUCCUCUUGUAAACUUAAUGAAUUGCUAAAUAACUCGAACACCGAAAUCUGACAUUACUUUUAUUUUUAUACUAUCUAGAUUCAAAAUACAAAUUUUGAUACACUUUAAUGGCAUGCUUGAUAUGAAUAAGUAUGUUACUUUCGAGUCUUAAAAGCCGGAGUGGUGGACCUGAGACCAAGCCUUUUAUGUUUAGAGAGUCUAUAGAUGUUGAUUUGAAUUCUGAAGAACUUGAAUACUCUAAUCAUUUUCGGGCGAGGGAAGAGGUUUAGAAAUUGAUUUAAGAUUAUACUCUUUCUGUUAUUCUCAUUUUUUUACAGUUUUUUUCACUACUCGACACGUAUUUUAAGACUUUUAUAAAACAUAAUUUUGUAACUUAUUUUUGAUAAUUUUUUUUGUGCAUAAAAAUUCAAAUAUCAAUUUUUUAUUCAAAAAAAAUAAAAUUAAAAACUAAAUUACAGAACUAUAUUUUCUAAAAACAUUAGAAUGCGUGUCAAACCCUUGUGUGCCUGGAGGAGAGGGAUUAAGUUAUAACAAUCUUAGUCGAUCUUAACAACCAUAUAAUACCUUAUCCUCACAGAUGGAGAGCACUAGCUGAAAUGAAAAGCUUAUCCUCACAGAUGGAGAGCACUAGCUGAAAUGAAAAGCUUAUCCUCACAGAUGGAGAGCACUAGCUGAAAUGAAAAGCUUAUCCUCACAGAUGGAGAGCACUAGCUGAAAUGAAAAGCUUAUACUCACAGAUGGAGAGCACUAGCUGAAAUGAAAGACUCCACUGCUCUCGUUAAGGAGUAUUAUACCAAGUCUACUGAGUUUAAUCAACAUUAAUUAACAUGAUGUUUUCUUCUAAAUUGAUACCAGAUGGACGGCAGUCAGGGCACUACUCGAUUAAUUAUGCACGUAACUGCUCCUCCGUCACUCUAAGUUGUAUAGGCGGAGGGAACGAUACGCACUUAUUUGGAUCGUAAUUAUAAGUGAUUAAACUGUUUAGAUUAAAAAAUAAGUAGAAUUCCUUAAACAAAAGCGCUAACACCUCAGUUUUUUAUAAAUGUUUCUGACUUUUUACAUAAACUGGUAAAAAAAAAAUUAAAAGCCGGCAUUUUAUCAGGAAAAGUCAGAAGCGGUCGAUCCAAGCAGGCACUAUGUUCAUAGUCUAUAUAUGGUAAAUGUGAAAAAUUCACUUGCAAAAUGAUAGAGGAAUAACUUUUAGAAACAAUGAAGUUAUGUAUUUGGAUUUAAUUUAUUGCUUAUUCACAUGAAUAUGUGACACUUACAUAUCUACAUAAAAUCUCACUCUUAACCGGUGUAUUAAAAGUCAGAUUAAUCGAUGUUCAGACAGAAAACGUCUCCAUUAAUCGUUAAUUGAUAAGAAAUUGUUUUUUGAAAAAUUCGAUAAAAUCGGUCAAAAUUCGUUCAAUUAUAAAAAAUUAUUUUUUAUUUCUUAUUAAAAUUUAUUAGUUUUAAUUUUAUAAAAGAUUCAAAAAAUAAUUAAAAUUAAAAAAUACCAAAAUUAUUCAAUUAUAAUUUUAUCGAUUAUGAAAAAUUGUCCUUAAAAAUAUCGAUUAUGAUUAUGUUGAUAUACAAUUUUUUAUUAAAUUAUGUCAUGUAAUUAUGUAAAAUACUUAAAAAUAUAUAUUUUUUGUUUGUGCCAAUAUAUAUACAUGUGUGUGCUUUAACUAGGGAUGUUCGAUCAUAAGAUUAUGGGCGUAUAAAUUUUACGAAGAUUAUGGGUCAUUUAUGUAAACUUAAAAAAGUAUUUUUUUUGCUUACAAUAAAGAAGUGGACUAAAAGUGAGAAAAUGAGAAGUAAAUUAAAAGUUAUAUGUGAUUAAAUUAUUUGAGAAAGAAAUAAAAGUCAUGACACAAAAACUAAGAUUCUCAAUUUUUUAUAAAUAUUUCGAUUUUUUACAUAUACAAACGGAUCAAAAAUAGUAAAAACCGUUAUUAACUCGCUAACAGACGCUACCUCUAUUCUGCUUUUUCGACACUCGGACUUAGAGCAAGUCCAAGAGAUGCCCUAUCUCAUGUCCUAAAUUAUUGUUUAGGGCAUUUGCUGGAAAAAGUUGCUCCAACAAUGUCCUAGUGAUGCCUUAUAUCACUAGGACAACAUUCUCAAGCCCUAUUUUUGAGGCACCUCUCUCCUUGCCCUAUAACAUAUUUUAUUAUAAAAUCACAUCAACACUCACUUUCUCUCUCUAUUUUUAUAUUAUGCUUUAAUGAUGGAAGAGAGUCUUUAAUAAUAAAAUAUUAAACAUCUUGUAAGAAUAAGGCACAUUGUUGGAGUUCAAGCUGGCAAAGUAUGUCCUAAAAUACUAAUACAUGAUAUUUUAUAUUAUAUUUAGGGCAUCAACUAAGACACCCUUGGACUUGCUUUAUAAUAACAAACAGUAUUUUCUUUGAUAAUGGUGUCAUCUUCGGGCGUGUGUCCUCGAGCCUGUUUGUCCCGGAUUACGUAAUGUUGAUUCUAAUUUUAAACUGAAAAAUAUUUGUUUGUGUAAAAAGUUGGAAGUCAGUUUAAAGUCUCAAAUAAGUCAGAAACUGACUUAGCCAGAAGUUAGUUUGAAGUAUUAUUUUCAGUGACUUCAUUUUUUUUUAAACCUUUUUUUGAUAAAAAUUAUUCAUAAGAUAUAAGUUAUCCAUAAAUCAUUUUUACUUUUAUUAUUACAUUUUUAAUGAUUCAUAAAUUUUUAAUAAACUAAAUUUACCCAAUAGACAUUUUAAUCUCACACCUUAUCACAUAAGUCAUGUUAAGGCCAUAAGUCACAAACUCACCAAACGAGCUCGUGAUCAACUUCAUUUAAGUUUUUUGUUAUGUGGGUAGAGAUUUAAUUACUAUAUUAAACUAAUAUAUUCUAUUUAUAACAAUCCAAAUAUUAAUAACAUACCAUUUUUAAAUUAUAGCCAACCAAUAUAGUCAAUACCAUCGAAGCACAAUGUUCUACAGGUGCAAAUUUUAAAUAACAUUUUAUAUGUCCAAUUUAGCCAACAAUUCUAGCCAACUCCAUUGAAAAUGCUCAAGUGAAUACAUGCGCAAUUUACCAGACUUAUUUAUGAGUAAGCCUGCAUACCACAAAUUUUAUUCCCAUAUUUUUUUUUAAAAUUAUUUUGCUAAUUUUAGUUGGGUCAUUUAUCUGCAUACAACGGUUCAUAAUAUUAUUAUGAGUGGAAGUGGAAUCGAUCAUAUAAUGCCAACCAAAUGUGGGAAAAAAAUUUAUAAAUAUUUUUGGGUAUUCCGUCCCAAAUCUUUAGUUUUAUUUUACUUUUUUGCAAUCAAAUAUAUAAAAUUUCGGGAUAGUUAAAUCAUCUCUUACUAGUUGAAGUUUGUGAAAUUUUAUUAUUUAUUAUAAUUAUAAUUAUAAUUUCUUAUUAUUUGAUUAUAUUAUCAUCUUCUUAGUAUAUUUAUACACACUUCUUUUUAAAUAUAAAACUUUCUAUUCUUGAAAUUUGAUCAUACUAUAGAUCUUAAUUUUUACUAAAAAUCUUAUUCCCAAGUACAUGUUAUGAUAUGAAUUUAUUUCAGAAUCAUAUGUUUUAUUUUAAUAAAAUCAUUAUGUCCUUUAUGAUUUCUAAAAAAUGAAAAAAUAUAUUUUACAACGGGCUUGUACGGUCUUUAAUCAUUAAUUAAAUUUACAAAAUUAAUUUAUAUUUAUUUUAUAAUUUUAAUAGGCAAAUGUUACCAAAGAAGAAUCCCAAAAAUUCUGUGUCAUCCCACAAUUCCUAAGUACCGAGUGGACAACAGUUAAAUGAAGAAUUUCAGAUUUCCGGUAUGGCAUACAGCAUCCUUUUUCCAAAUAGUGCAGUCGAUGAAUGUGGACACCGAAUUGCUAAAGUUCUCAAACACUGACUUCAUAUUUAGUUGAGAGAAGAGAUUUAGAAAUGGGUUACAAGAUUCUUUUUACAGUCCUAAUGGCUUCAUAAUUGGGGUUAGGGCGAACAUAUUUAAUAGACCACAAGUCAUACCUACACGAAAACCUAAUAUUACAGACAUGUUUCAAAUUACACUUCCACUUUCUAAUAAUCACAUAAUUUAAGAAAAACGGAUUUUGAUAGAAGAGAGUUGUAUUAAUUUAUUAAUUGAACAUAAUAUGUGGUAUGGUUGAUCAAUUAAGUUUGGACAUGGGAGCCUGAAAUCUCACGGGUGAUAUGACGUUAGAUAAGAAUGCUUGGAGACGGCUUAUUAGAGUAGUUGAGACUCGGUCUCGUGGUUUACAGAGAUUAUGAGUAUUAUGGUUUAUGCUUUAAGGGUAAGGUUCAGCUCAGACAUUGACAGAUGCAUUAGACAGGAGGUUUGGAAUACUGUGGAGCUCUGUUUUGAAGACAAAGCUCGGAUCAUUUAUUGCCAGCUGUAUUUACGAUAAAGGUAGGUCUCAUGUGUCAAGAAUCAUUGGCCAAGGUACUAUUUACAUAUAUCUCACGUAAUACUUUGUCUUGCACUAAGCCGGUGUUCUUCACAGAAACAGCUUUCUUAUUCCUCAGCGCAUGGUCUGCGUACAUCUUACCCUCCCCAGACCCUGCUCUAAGCGGGAUAUACUGGGUAUGUUUGGUUUGGUUUAUGUGGUAUGGAUGAUCAUAGAAAUAUGAAUUAGCAAUAUGUGAAUGAGAGUUGAUUCUGGAAAUUUAUUAUAUUGAAAGUUGAGGUAGAAAAGUAUUUUAGAACAAUAUUUUUUCUUCUAAAAUGGACAUAUAUUUUGAAAGGGAGGGAUAUAAUCUACCACAUACCAUUGCAGAUCGCAUCCAUUGGCAUGCUAGCUAUUCCCAUUUCUGAACUGGACUGCAUUGGUUACCUUCAUUCCUCCUUGUCCUCAACCUAGUCUCCCUUAAAAUAUACAUUUAAUAUUUUACAUUAUAGGCAUCACACUCAAAAACCAAUUCCUUCUUCAUUAAUGUCAGCGAGUGCUCCUUCCUUCAUGAUGAAGCACUCUCGGUGCAUUAAUAUCACAAUCAUCGUACACAUAACAGGUCUUCACAGGACGAGAAAACAUCAUGAGUGUGACUGUGUGAGCAUCAGGAAGUGGUACGAGAGACCGAGGGUGUCUGUUGUGCUAAUCAUGGCCUAUAUGAAUGCGCAAUUCUGCGCAACUCUUUUGCAAGUAGAAAUCCCGGCAUAAUUAUAUGCAGUAUUUCAGAAUUAGAAUUGAUAAACAUCAGUAGCACAUCAUCAACUGUUUGAUUCCAGUAAUAUAAAUUCCAUCUAUUUUAAAUUGGCCGCUGUGUAGACAAAAAAAGAAUGUAGAUUAAAACAUCAAAAAAUAUCCGGCAACUGGCAUGAUUAAUAAAACAUGUGAUGUCUACCGUCAACCAUGAGUUCAAUAUUCUGUCUUGUUUCUCAUACUUUUUCACCCAUGAAAAAUUAGUAAAGAAACAAUUGAAGUAGAGGAUAAUGGCUGAUUUUUGGCAAGCCCGGCAUAUAGCAUCCUCUUUGUAAUAGAGUCCUCAUAACCAAGAAAAGACACAAACACCCUCAGUUAAUACAAAUCAUACACAUUCAAUACAAAUUCUUACAAAUUACUCUGGAUAUUAAAAGAUUGCUCUGGAAAUAACAUUUCCCUCAAUUAAUAGUGAUAUUCAAUAUACCCCUGCACUCUAUUACUAAGAAUUAGGGGGAAUGAACUAUUUCCGUUAUCCACACUUCCAUAAACAGCUUUCUAAAUAUAUAUCAUCAUACUAUCAUUCAGUUAUUCAUCUCCCAUUCAAUUACGCUGAUAAGUCUUGAUUGUUUUCGUAGCACAAAAAACUCUCUCAACAGUAGCAAUGAUAGCGGGUAACACCAGAGCUAACUCAACCAGAAAAUAAACCAAGAGAUAAGCAAUGUGGUGUGUCUUGACCAUCAUGACAGAAAGAUUUCCUAUACUUUGAAGUCCAGAUUAAUCUUUAUCCGCUUCUUAUCAUCUGAUUAUUAAUUAAUUAAGGUUAAAUAUGUAUUGAUAUUAUGUUUGGGCUGUUUCAAGUAUUAAUUUAUUAAAAAUGUGGUAUUCAUUGAACUUAACUCUUAUUACUUAAUUUUAAUUUUAAUUUUACUUCAUAUGAUAUUUAAACUCCUAAAAUCUUGUCUUCUACUAUGAAUUUAAUACUCUUCCUUGUCAACGUAAUUACUUUAGCCAAAAGAACGUAGAUGAAAAAACCGAUGAUUCAAGUGUAGCGACAUGCAUAAUGACACGGGGUACAAGCAAACAAAUAAAGCAAAUGAACAGAAAAAUGCAUAUUCCAAAGAGAAGUACAAUAGUUUAGAUGAGUGCAGUCUCUUGUAACAUGCCCGAGAGUGGACAGUUCAAGCAUGCAAGAAGUCCACAACCAUCACAUUCCAGAAGAAAACAGAAGUAAUCGAAAAAACUGAAGCACUGUGAACAAGUGUGUAUGGACUUCUUUGUUGUAGGCAUCUUCAUAACUAAUGCAAGUGUGUGUGGUUUAUCCGCAAUAAUAACUUUAAUUGUCCCUCCUAACUUGACAUUGUUGAGCCCAAACCCGCAAGAAUAGUGAUAGGAAUGUUCAGAUUCACUGCAAUGGUAGAGCAAAUCUUGGUUGCUAACCCGUUCUUCACAGAUUUCACAGUAGAAUGCUCCCUCGUAGAAGAAUGGAGGAUAUCUCAAGGUUAAUGGGUGAGCAUCAUAUCUGUGUUCCAUCCUACUUGGUAUUAUUAUACCACAUAUAUGAAUCUGGAAACUACUGCAGGUUUCACAUCCAUAUUCCACCCCAAC